rnacentral:rRNA from 1 species
CGGCCAGCAGACUGCGGAAGAUCAUUAUCGAGUUUUGAAUGGGUUGUCUGCUGGCUCGCAAGGGCAUGUGCACGCCUGUCUCAUCCACUCUCAACUUCUGUGCACUUUUCAUAGGCCGGCUUGUGGGUGCGUUCGCGCACUUGUAGGUGUCGGGCUUAUGCUUUACUACAAACGAUUCAGUUUUAGAAUGUCAUACUUUGCUAUAACGCAAUUAUAUACAACUUUCAGCAACGGAUCUCUUGGCUCUCGCAUCGAUGAAGAACGCAGCGAAAUGCGAUAAGUAAUGUGAAUUGCAGAAUUCAGUGAAUCAUCGAAUCUUUGAACGCACCUUGCGCUCCUUGGUAUUCCGAGGAGCAUGCCUGUUUGAGUCUCAUGGAAUUCUCAACCUUCAGCUUUAUUGAUGAAGGCUUGGACUUGGAGGUCGUGCCGGCUCUCGUAGUCGGCUCCUCUGAAAUGCAUUAGUGCGAACGUUACCAGCCGCUUCAGCGUGAUAAUUAUCUGCGUUGCUGUGGAGGGUAUUCUAGUGUUCACGCUUCUAACCGUCUUCGGACAAAUUUCUGAACUCUGAGCUCAAAUCAGGUAGGACUACCCGCUGAACUUAAGCAUAUCAUAAGACGGCGAGGAAAAA